UAUAAAAUUAAAUACCCUAAAAGAGUAAUCGAAUCGGAUGAUUAAGUUGUCAAACCCAAGAAAGCCAAUAAUCAAAACACAACCCAAUUAUUUCAUCAACCCAACCAAUUCUUAUAAUGAAUUAUUUAUCCACCCAUUAUUAAACCAUAACUAACAUUCACACUAACCCACUCAUACACAGAAAAUGAUCCUGCCCAUGCAGUAAAAAAGGGAACCGAAAUGGAUUCGGAUAGAAGAUACUACCCUAAACCCGAAUGUAACAUAUGCUGGAUUUCCCAAAGGAAAACCUUAAGUCUGUCAUGGGGGGGAGGAUGUUCACACGGUGAACAAAUAGUACCCAUUUUACCCAACACUUUACCCUCAGCAUCCCAUUACUGGUGAAUUCAACUGCAGCCAACUUCAACUGCGAUUGGUAAAAAAAAGAAGAGAAGAAGUUAA